CGAGAUACGGUUUCCGAUGUAGUAUUGCCAUGUUAUCCAGCACGGCUAAUACUAGAAUUGGUUCUGCCGAAAGCGUAGAAGUAAUCAUUCCAAAACUAAGUCGUGAAAAAUCAAUAUUGAAGAAAAAAAUGUUUAUGUUUUGCGCACGCGUGAUACGCUAUGAAUGUCUCACACAGAAACAGCGACAUCUCUAUUCGUCUGCCUGUCUCGCAAAAACGAAAAUAUCGUUGUCUUUCAUGUUGAACAUUCAAUUCAAUCGUAUAUCAUAAGUAUAUAGUAUUUCAUGUCAUACAAAAAAAAAAAGAAAAAAAAGUUUGUUAGUCAUAUAAAUGUAAAUUUACAUAAUAGAGUAGAGUUCAAUUGAAAACAUGAGAUCGCGCUACACGAUGGAAACUGAAACUUGAAGAAUGAUGUACCACAGGUGACUCUAGUAUUUACAACUCGAUCGGAGCGCCGUUAUUAGGAAUUGGGAAAGCACAUCGCGUCGCUAAAAGGAAUUAUCUCACCGCGGGAAUCCCCAGAACACCUAUCUCCAUCACCGAGAACCAUUAUAUUUCGUCUCUAUUCGUCGAGUACUGUCAGAAAAUACGAAAAAAAACUUGUAAAAAAAGUGGUAACCCGGAGCGAAGUUUAAUCUUGGAAGGAUAUUUUAUGUUUUUCAAGGUCAUUGAGGCCUGACUGCCCGUUUUCAUCAUUUUUCUCGUUACAUACUACAUUUACAUGAUAACAAAGUAAUUAAAAAGGUUUCGUCAAAAUCCAUGAAGGCGUCAUACAUCGACAGAUUCACCGAUAAAGGAAUACGGAUCUGGCUAUUUCUGAUAUUUUCAACACAGUCGUAGAAGAGAAUGAGUACGCGUAUUGGCCGAAACUGCUAUAUAUACACAAAUAAAAUAAUACAGUAACGCAUAACGGCGAACGAUAGAGAGCAGUAACUUCCUUGCUUCUGUGGCCUCUUGUGUCGUCAGCACUGCAUAGUACGUGUGUACAUGGGAAGGAAGAUAUGAGAUAAAUAAUGAUCAAUGUUGGAUCUAGGAAUUUGGGGGUAAUUUUUAAAUUCACCGGUCAAAAAUUAUCACAUAGCAUAAAUAAAUGCUAUAAAUGAAAGUUGUGUCCUGAAACAAAAUUCGAUGCUUUUUUUCAUUUCCUUCACUAUGACAUACAAAUGGAAUACAAGGGUGGGCAAGGAAUGAAAAGAAUGCGAAUAAUUAGAUGUUAGAGUACCAAUCAACUUAAUUGUUGUCUAUAUUCUAUUGAAUGAUCUAAAUGUACCUUUCGUCGCUUAUCUAACAGAAGUAUUAUAAAAAAAAAAAAAAAAAAAUAAGAAAAUAUAUUAUAAAAUUCUUUUUUUUAAGAACAAAAAUUCAAUUUACAAUUUUAACUUGGACCGGCAAUAAUGUUUCGAGUUCAUUUUAUAUAUUUACAUUAAAAAUAAUAAUUUUAGGAACAGUUGUACUAAUUAAAUUCUACAAGUUUUUAAGUCUAGAAUGGAAUAAAUGUAAUAAUAUGGGCAAGAAACAGGAUGUAAUCAAAAUUAAUAUAUAUCACAUUUCUUUUGCAUAUAUUAUAUCUUAAAUAUUAAUAACUGUACUGAAAUUCGUAGACAUCCAAAAUUAUUUUGAUACAUAAUUAUUAUCAUUUGUAAUUAUCACUCAAAUAUAUAUAUUUCAAAUUAUAUGUAUAGUGAAUGUAUGAGCGUACAAUGAAAAUCUAAAUACAAUAAUUAAAUAACAAUAUCGUAGUUCUGUACAUGCUUAGAUCUUAAUGGAACCAUUAGUGUGUAUCAUAUUUAUACAUAUAUCAGAGUGUAACGAUUCAUAAAAAUUAGCAAAAUUUUCUGUUCUUUACAUAUCUAAUUUAUUCUAUGCGCUCGUACAUGUUCGCAAAUUUUUUAAAUGUAAAAUCAUUUAAAUUAUUGCGAGAGUUCGUGGAAAUGUCCUAUCCAUGAAUUCAGUAAAAUAAUUUUCAAUAAAUGUUGCAACGAUUUGUUAUUCAAGUAAAAAUUGCCACGAUGAUCAAGACUUUUGAUGGAAAUAAUAAUAAUGUUUAUGAAUGUAAGUCGCUUAAUAAAUACGUAUUUACAUAAUCUCAAUAUAUUUCACAUGUAUAUAUCAAUAAGCAGUACAAAUUGCAGUAAAAGAUGUUAUGUUAUUUAAUGAAAGGGUAUACAGCUGGGGACAAAAAUAAAUGGACAGACGGUAGAACUAUCAAUGAGGUUUGAUCAAGCUACAUUAGUUGGUAAAUAAUUGAAAUUAACGUUUAUAUUUCUGUGCAAACAAUCCGUAUGAAAUGAAACAUCAUUGAUACCUAUUUCCCCUACCUUAUCCACUUAUUUUUGUCCUGUACUGUGUGUUGCCCAAAAUGUUAAUCAAAUGAGAAUGUAAUUGUAAUUUUCUAACGUAGUAAAGAUUCUGCAGUAGUCAUGUACCUUACAAUACACUGAAAUACGAAAUAAA